UAAGUUGAAGCCAAACUAGGCACCUAACUGUUAAUUAGGCCCAAGCCGGCAAACCCGGCCUCCUUAA
rnacentral:tRNA from 1 species